UUUUUUUUUGUUUUUUUUUUUUUAAUGUUCUGUUGACUUGCUGGCCCAGGGAGAGGGAAUAAUUAUAGGUUGGAAAAAAUCCUACAAUGUGACAGUGAGAUUAGGGGUUGCAGUGAGUUAUGGGGAUAACUGAGCUGACUUCUGGCAUGGUGUAUCUUGGUGGUUUUGGCUAAUAGAUCUUUCUCCUCAGGAAGUUGCUUUCAGCUGAAGAACGUGGUCCCAUUAUUACAGGGGUCGGGGAAUUGAGGAAGAGGAAGAAUCAGGCCCAGUUCUUUGAGGAUGGUCUUCAUCUAUGUCUGUUUCUGCAGAGUGUGUACACUAACUAGUAGACUAUGGAGACAGACUUCCUCGUUUUCAAUCCAGCUCUGGACCUAGUAGAUGUGUUGCUACACUGAGGAAGUUGCUUAUCGUCUCUGGGCCUUUUAAGAUUGCUGUGAUGAUGAAAAGGGUUAAUUCAUGCAAAGGAAUUAGAACAUUGCCUUCUACAUGGCUGUGAAGGCAUAAGAAGAACCAGAGUAGAAACUUAAAAUGUGAAGAGAAAGGGUGGAGAAAAUAACAGGAGGAAGAAUGUGGAAUGGUGAAUUUGGAAGAAACCUAGGAAGAGACACCAGCCCCACCUUCCUUUUUCCAGGACUUCUUUUCUUGCUUCCACCGCCAUCUUGCCAUCCUCACUUUCACAGUCUCCAAUACUAUGCCGUGUGGGUGACAGGGGUCUGACAUCAUUGUGGCAGGAACAGCCGUCACCUCACUCUCCCUGUGCAUCUAAACUAUCCCUAGGCCUGGGUUCCUAGCUGGACCCAGUAGACAAUGUACUUGUCUAACAAAGUAUAGCUCUUUGGAAGCUUGACCCUAGGCCAUCAGUCUUAGGUCUGGACUCUCAUCCAGCUACUUUACUGGGAUAAAAUGACUACUGAAGGCUCCGGGACAGGAACUUUGUUUCUUAAAAUUUAUCUUUGUAGUUUCAUCACCUGUGUUACCCUCCCAGGGCUGCUGUAAUAAAAUAACCACAAACUGGGUGGCUUUAACCCAA